CUUGAACUCCUGCCCUCGGCCUCCCAAAGUGCUAGAAUUACAGAUGUGAGUCAGCCACCAUGCCUGGCUGGAAAUCAUUAAAUCAUAUCCCUGAGGCCACUUUAAGUUCAAUCUCCUGUAAAGUGCUAGCUACUCUGAUUAUUUUUCCUGCCAUCAUCUGGUGUUCACAGCCUCAAUGGACAUGCUCCGGAUUCUGUGAUCUAUAUCAGGGAAAACCAGAUCUAGCAGAAACUCUACUGCAAUAUCGACAUUGUCUUGCUUGCUAAUAAGAUUUUAAUUGAUUUUAAUACACCGAGAAACAAAUUCAGAAACAACCCUUUCUGUUCCUGCCAUUUGUAUUUUUAGUGACUAACUGCCAAGUACUGGUUUCCCAAAGUUGCAGAAGAGACGGUCCCUGUUCUCCAAGAUACAGUCUUGUGGAGGAGUCUAGCAAGACACUUGUAAAAGGUUGCCCAAAUUCCAUGUGUGAUGCGUCCAUGAUUACAAUCUGUGGUUACUAUAGUACCCGGCCAGUAAGAGUUACUUGCACAUUUUAGUAUUAUAUGCAGUAACAAUUGCCACCGUGAGAACCGACACAUAGGUCAUGCCUGUCUCACCACAUCAUAAUGUGCCACCAGAAGGUGGCACUGUUGGAACUUGCUGUCUCUUGCUCGCUCGCUGGCUCUCUGUCUCGCAACUUUCUAAAAAAUUAGGCAUCACUACCGUGUCAUGCCAGUCUAAAACAACAGUCCUUCAACAUUGUUCAAAAAAUCUAAGCACACAGCAAUUCCUCAUAGCCAACCACCGGAGCCAGUUGAAGGAGACGCUGUCCUGUUCCUUUGUUUACCGCUGGGAGAGCUGACAAAGCUGAGAUGUCUCCAGGGCCGGGGACCACCUUAAUUAUAAGGACUGCUUGGUUUCUGUACACCCCAGUUAAUUAAUGCAAACGUACAUUUCUCCCAAAUCUUCACUAUUGAUUCUAACCACCAGAAGGAAAGAAAAGAGAAAUGCAGGAAAGGAGCCAGGAUCUUCAGGAUCUGGGGUGAUUUCUCCGAGCAGAUAAGCUGCUUAUUACGAGUCAGAGAAUCAGAUCAGUGGUAGAAGUGGAGUGCCAAUCCUGAGUCUCACCUCUACUCAAGUGCUCAACAUAUCCCUAGAUCCUCAAUUCUCUGGCAAAAGUGACUGGAUGGAACCACAGACUUCCAAGAGGGGACAGUCAAGCAUUAAAUACGAGAAUGCACAUAUAACUCUUGAUGCAAUGUUUAGCACAUACUAAGCCUGCAAUACAUGCUCAUCCCUUUGAACAAAUCCACAUGGCCAGUUUCUGUGCUCAGGGGUGAAAACAGCCGGGCUAUGAUUGGGACAGGGGGAGCAAUAGGUGGGGAGGGGCUUCCUCUCUCCAGGCCUGCCAUCUUGACUGACAUGCUGCAGCCCUUGCCAAAAUCCAUGGGUCAGAAUGAAAGUAAAAUGUCGUUGGAAACCUUGCAAUCCACCAUUAAAACUGCUGGGUGUAGUAAAACAAUUGCUUGCCCCAAAUAAAUGACUUAUCCUUGCU